rnacentral:lncRNA from 1 species
UAUUGGCGGUUGGUCAUCUAUAUGCUUUCAUAAUAAUAUUAUGUAUUUUUCCUAUUAUUAAUAUAUGUUUUAGUAAUAUUUAUGCAUUUUUUGUUAUUUUAAAUUGUUUUUAUGUCACUUUUUAAUAAUUAUAUUUACCCUUUUAUAUGUUAUACAAUUACAAGUUGCAUUGGAAUUUUCAUUUUUUCUAUUUUUAUUAUAAUUUUCAUAUCUUUUAGUAUUUUAUUAAGUAUUUUUAGUUUUUGAAUAAAAAUAUUUCAAAAAAAAUAUUAUUUUUUGUAAAAAAUAUCAUUUACAAUGUUUAGAAGUCAUUUGUGAAUAUAUUUGCCAAGUUGUACUUUGGUUUUCGCUAUUUAGUAUUGUACAUGUCUAUUAUGAUUCUCUGGACAAAACAUGUCUACUCCUGAAACUUGGGUUUUUUUUUAAGCAUAUAUAAGGUGGGUAGAGGUGUUGAAAGACACCUUAGUUGCUUGCUGCCAGGAAGGGGCGGGAAUGCAUGGGGGACGCUGGCAUGGGGCGUGGGCAUUGGGUGCAUGCAUGGCUUGUUCGUGCUACGUCCUCGAUGUUCCCAAACCGUGACGGCAAGUACUCGUGUGGGCUCGUAGUAAGCUUGGUUGUGGCACCGCUCAUGGCAAACAUUGGCUUUUGGCAAUGAACGGUGGAGCAUCAUGCAAGUAGCGCCGCAAGGUGCCGUGCGCAUGGGGCGAAGCUUAGUACUUGUUGAUCGCCAUUGGAUGUUGCGGGCAAAAUGGGAGGCAACAUCGCUCGUGGCGGCUGAAGGCUUUUGACAUCAGAACGAAAAAGCGUCGUGCAAGUAGCGCCGCAAGGUGCCGUGCGCAUGGGGCGAAGCUUAGUAAGUUGUUGUUGAUUGCCAUCGCUUGUUGUGGGUUGUGUCUGGAAUAUCUCGUGGCGGCUGAUGUCUUUCGUCAACGAACAGCGGAGCGUCGUGCCCCAUUGGUUGUUGUGGGUUGUGUAUGGAAUCUCUCGUGGUGGCUGAUGGCUUACGACAAAGAACGGCGGAGCCUCGUGCAAGUGGCGCCGCAAGGUGCCGUGCGCAUGGGGUGAAGCUCAGUAGAUGUCGAUUGCCAUCGGUUGUUGCGGGAAACAUCGUUCAUGGCAGUUGAUGGCUUUCCGCAAUGAAACGGCGGAGCGUUGUGCAAGUAGCGCUGCAAGGUGCCGUGUGCAUGGGGCGAAGCUUAGUAAGUUGCCUAUUUCCAUCGAUUAUUGUGGGUUGUGUCUCCGUGGCGGCUAAUGGCUUUUGACCACGAAUGGCGGAGCAUCGUGCAUCGUGCGCACGGUGCGAAGCUUAGUAAGUUGCUGAUUGCCAUCGGUUGUUGCAGGCAACAUCAGCAGGCGACAUCGCUCAUGGCGGGUGACGGCUCUUGGCAACAAAAUGGCAAAGCAUCGUGCAAGUAGCGCCGCAAGGUGCCGUGCGCACGAGGCGAUUGUGCAUGUAGCGCCGCAAGGUGCCGUGCGCAUGGGGCGAAGCUUAAUAAAUUGCCUAUUGCCAUCGAUUGUUGUGGGUUGUGUCUCCGUGGCAGCAUAUGGCUUUUGACAACGAACAACGAAGCAUCGUGCAAGAAGCCCCGCAAGGUGCCGUGCGCACAGGGCGAAGCUCAGUAGAUGUUCAUUGCUAUCGGUUGUUGCGGGGAACAUCGGGAGGCGACAUCGCUCGUGGCAGCUGAUGGCUUUUGGCAACAAAAUGGCAAAGCAUUUGUAAGUUGCCGAUUACCAUCGGUUGUUGCGAGCAACAUGGGGAGGCGAAAUCGCUCAUGGCGGCUGAUGGCUUUUGGCAACAAAAUGGCAAAGCAUCGUGCAAGUAGUGCCGCAAGGUGCCGUGCGCACGAGGCAAAGCUUAGUAAGUUGCCGAUUACCAUCGGUUGUUGUGGGUUGUGUCUGACAUUGUUCAAACCCCCUAUUCAUGCUUUGCGGGGCUUGUCUUGGCUUUGCAAUGUUGGCAUCGGCAACAACACAUGGCUGCCCGUCACGUGUUGGGGUUGGUGUUGGCUCUGUAUCGGCGAGGCAAGUGUACGUGCGGCACAUGAGUGGUGGUCGGCUUGUGUGGCUAGGUUGGAUCCCUGCUUGAGCAGCGACGUCCUAGCUCGCAUGCCAUCUCAGUCAUGUCACAAGCGCAAAUUAGGCUUGUUCAACGUCGGUACUUGAGCAGCGACUUCGUAGCUCGCAUGCUAUCUUAGUCAUGUCACAAGCGCAAAUUAGGCUUGUUUGAUGUCGAUUUUUCUGUGUUGCAUACCUAAUUCCAAGGCAUUAUCAAUAACAAUCGGUCGCCUUUCGCCCCUCGCGUUCGACGUGCGGGGUGAACCAAAAGCUGCAGUUGUGNNNNNNNNNNNNNNNNNNNNNNNNNNNNNNNNNNNNNNNNNNNNNNNNNNNNNNNNNNNNNNNNNNNNNNNNNGCAAAGGAGAGGAAGAAAUGUGAAAAUGGCAAUGCACAUGAAGAUCGAGGGAAGGGAAAGCAGGAGGCUGAAACUUCCAAGAGCAAGGAGAAGGGCGGCAAAUUCGGUGGUUGUUUCAUAUGUGAUGGACCACAUCGAGCGAGAGACUGUCCAAACAAGGCGGCGUUGAAUGCAAUGUCUUCCACGGAUAAGAGGGCUGAAUUGGAGGCGUUGAGCAGUAAUAAACAGGUUGCUAACAUCAAUGCAGUGACGGCCAGAGAAAGAGGUGAUCCAGGGGCGUUUAUUAGUAACCCCUUGGGAUUCAUAAAUUGAAUAACCUCGACGAGGACGUCGAGUUUAAACAGGUGAGGGUGGUUUGUUAGACACAUAAAUUUGGAGCUCGGCAUGACAACAAGAGUGUUGUCAAGAGGCAGCAAGAGUGUUGCAAAACUGGUGCAAGAGUGGCAUCAGAAGUCUAAAAGGGAAACGGGCAAGUGUGGACUAAGGCUUUAAACGGAUCCGAGGCAGCUUAGCGAGGGCUUGGCAAUGAGUUGCGGGUGACGGACGGUACUUGAUCAUGAUUAUAGCAUCAAGGCAGGAGGCAUUGAUGCCAAGGAAUGGCACAAACGGAUGGGCAAAGACAAGCAAAUGUGCAAACGGAAAGGCAAUGCGCGGGCAGAUUGGCAUGGGUUCGAGUUGGGGCAAAGGGCCAAGUUUGUGGGCAAUGUUUAGGCUAAUUGGGGUGCAAUGCAGCUAGAAGCAAUGGCAUUGGCGCCAAGGCCAAGCCAACACACGGAAUUGGGCAGUGUUCGUGGGCAGUGUUUAGGAUAAUUGGGGCGCAAUGCAGCUGGAAGCAUUGGCGUUGGUGCCAAGGCCAAGCCAACACACGGAAUUGAGCAGCAACAUGAGAAUGGACCAAGUCAAACGGCGGUUAUCGGCACAUGCUGUGCACAUGGGCAGCGGUUGAGCUUUGUUUAUCAUGCUGGUAGGAGUUAGCACGAGUUGAGGGCCAUGAUCCCAUGAUCUAGACAUGUUCCUAGUAGUUGUGGGUGUCAACUACCUUAGUGGGCAAGUGUCAAGCCUAAAUACUAGGCAACUAUUGUAAACAUGGGGCUGUUUCAUAAUCUAUAAAUGGGCAGCACCCUUCCCUUUGUGACUCAGAAGCAAAACCAGGGCAACUAUUGUACAUGGGGCUGUUCCAUGAUCUAUAAAUGGACAACAUCCUUUCCUUUAUGACUUAAGAGAGAACCGGGAGGGUGAUCUUCAACAGAUUCUUUAGGCAGGAAAGUGUGAGAGAGCAUACUUAGACUGUAAAAGAGUGUAAACGUGUGAGAGUGCAUGUUUACUAACUUAGGAAGAGUCCUAAGUCUUGUGAGGGUCAAGAGUGAUCUUCAUAUUUGUACAUGGAGUGUAAUUCGGAGUUGAGUUUCUUUGUAAUCUCGAGUUUAAUACAAAGUUGGGAAAAGAGUUCCUGUAAACUUGUGUCUUGUGUUCAUUUCUCUCCCUUUCAUUAUACUUUUGUUGCCUAAGUUCAAUUUAAUCUUACCACGUUGAAAAGAUGUGCUUGUUCAUUUCUGUCCCUUUCGUUAUACUAUUGUUGCCUAAGUUCAAUUUAAACUUAGCACGUUGAAAAGCUGUGCAAACAUAGUGAAGUCCAAAGUUGCUGAAACUUUGGCCGAGUAUUGUAGAAGGCUGAGUCAAGUCGGUGCUUGGCUGCCGCACGGGUUGUUUUGGAGGUUGCCAAAAUCGACCCCGUGACAAUUGGUACCAGAGCUGAUCGAGGGCAGAUCGUGUUGUGGCGGAGACACGACGUGCUGUAGCAGAUUUUGUGGUCCUGUUCGAGAACAUGGCCGGUGGUAACAAUGAACUACGAGAAAGGCUAACAAAAAUGGAAGCAUUGGUGGGCAAUGUUGCGGAAUGUGAGGAACUUCAUUCUCUUGUCACUAGACUUGCGUUUCUAGAGGCAGAAAUGGCAAGGCUAAGUCGAGAGAAUGCAGAGCUGAAGAUCGAGACAGUGGUGCUGCGACGUGUUGUGGGCGAGGACGCUCAACGUGGUGCUGAACGUCCCAAAGUCAGAGUACUGGAAUCAAAGGCAUACAGAGGUGCAAGGAGUGCACGUGAGUUGGAGAAUUUUCUUUGGGAUAUGGAGCAGUACUUUCAGGCUAUUCGUGUGCAAGACGAGAGAGAGAAGGUUUGACUAGUAUGCAUUUGAGGGAUGAUGCUAAGUUAUGGUGGUGCACUUGGGUUGCUGAAGAUGAAAGUAUGGGCAGACCAAAGAUAGAGUCGUGGGAGCGGCUUAAAAAGGAAUUGAGGGAUCAAUUUCUUCCUAGUAAUACAUCUUGGAUUGCUAGGACACUCGGGUGGCUGAGGAUGAAAGUCUGGGUAGACCAAGGAUUGAGUCGUGGGGGCGGCUUAAGAAGGAAUUGAAGGAUCAAUUUCUUCCUAGCAAUACAUCUUGGAUUGCUAGGGAAAAACUGAAAAGACUGAAACAAAUCGGAUCAGUUCGAGAGUAUGUGAAAGAGUUCACAUCACUGAUGCUUAGCAUCAGCAACAUGUCGAAGGAGGACAAGUUGCACAACUUCAUGAGCGGACUGCAACAGUGGGCGCAACUGGAGUUGCGUAGGCAGAAUUCAAAACCUCGCAAGUGCGGUGACUGUGGCAGAUGCAUUAGGCGAUUUUCAUUAGGUGGAUAAGUUGCACAACUUCAUGAGCGGGCUGCAACAGUGGGCACAACUGGAGUUGCGUAGGCAGAAUAUUCAAAACUUCGCAAGUGCGGUGACAGUGGAAGAUGCAUUGGGCGACUUUCAUGUUGAGGAGGAUUCUGCUCCAAAGUCCAACAACGGAAAGAAGGACAAGGCAAAGGAGUGGAAGAAAUGUGAAAAUGGUAAUGGACAUAAAGAUCGAGGGAAGGGAAAGCAGGAGGCUGAAACUUCCAAAAGCAAGGAGAAGGGCUGUAGGUUCGGUGGUUGUUUCAUAUGUGAUGGACCACAUCGAGCGAGGGACUGCCCAAACAAGGCGGCGUUGAGUGCAAUGUCUGCCGCUGAUAAGAGGGCUGCAUUGGAGGCGUUAGGCAGUAAUAAACAGUCUGCUAAUGUCAAUGCAGUAAUGGCUAGAGAAAGAGGUGAUAAGGGGCAUUUAUUAGCAACCCCUUGGGACUCAUCAAUUGAGUAACCUCGACGAGGACGUCGAGUUUCAAAGGGUGAGGGUGGUUUGUUAGACCCCUAACUUUGGCGCUCGGCAUGACAACAAGAGUGUUGUCAAGAGGCAGCAAGAGUGUUGCAAAACUGGUGCAAGAGUGGCAUCAGAAGUUUAAAUGGGAAACGGGCAAGUGUGGGCUAAGGCUUUGAACGGAUCCGAGGCAGCUUAGCAAGGGAUUGACAAUGAGUUGCGGGUUACGGACGGUACUUGAUCAUGAAAAUAGCAUCAAGGAAGGAGGCAUUGAUGCCAAGACAUGGCACAAACGGAUGGGCAAAGACUUAAAUGGGAAACGGGCAAGUGUGGCCUAAGGCUUUGAACGGAUACGAGACAGCUUAGCGAGGGCUUGACAAUGAGUUGUGGGUGACGGACGGUACUUGAUCAUGAUAAUAGCAUCAAGGUAGGAGGCAUUGAUGCCAAGGCAUGGCACAAACGGAUGGGCAAAGACAAGCAAAUGUGCAAACAGUCUAACGGCGGUUACCAGCACAUGCUGUGCACACGGGCAGCGGUUGAGCUUUUUUUAUCAUGCUGGCAGGAGUUAGCACGAUUUGAGGGCCAUGAUCCCAUGAUGUAGACAUGUCCCUAGUAGUUGAGCGUGUCAACUACCUUAGUGGGCGAGUGCCAAGCUGAAAACCAGGGCAACUAUUGUACAUGGGGCUGUUCCAUGAUCUAUAAAUGGACAGCAUCCUUUCCUUUAUGACUUAAGAGAGAACCAGGAGGGUGAUCUUCAACAAAUUCUUUAGGCAGGAAAGUGUGAGAGAGCAUACUUAGACAGUAAAAGAGUGUAAAGUGUGAGAGUGCAUGUUUACUAACUUAGGAAGAGUCCUAAGUCUUGUGAGGGUCAAGAGUGAUCUUCAUAUUUGUACACGAAGUGUACUUCGGAGUUGAGUUUCUUUGUAUUCUCGAGUUUAAUACAAAGUUGGGAAAGAGUUCCUGUAAACUUGUGUCUUUUGUUCAUUUCUGUCCCUUUCGUUAUACUUUUGUUGCCUAAGUUCAAUUUAAACUUACCACGUUGAAAAGCUGUGCAAACAUAGUGAAGUCCAAAGUCGCUGAAACUUUGGCCGAGUAUUAUAGAAGGCUGAGUCAAGUCGGUGCUUGACUGCUGCAUGGGUUGUUUUGGAGUUGGCCAAAAUUGACCCCGUGACACCUACCAUGGUGGUGACGGGUGACGGAGAAUUAGGGUUCGAUUCCGGAGAGNNNNNNNNNNNNNNNNNNNNNNNNNNNNNNNNNNNNNNNNNNNNNNNNNNNNNNNNNNNNNNNNNNNNNNNNNNNNNNNNNNNNNNNNNNNNNNNNNNNNNNNNNNNNNNNNNNNNNNNNNNNNNNNACGGGGAGGUAGUGACAAUAAAUAACAAUACCGGGCUUUAUGAGUCUGGUAAUUGGAAUGAGUACAAUCUAAAUCCCUUAACGAGGAUCCAUUGGAGAGCAAGUCUGGUGCCAGCAGCCGCGGUAAUUCCAGCUCCAAUAGCGUAUAUUUAAGUUUUUGUAGUUUAAAAGCUCGUAGUUGGACUUUGGGAUGGGCCGGCCGGUCCGCCUUUUGUAUGCACCGGUUGUUUCGUCCCUUUUGCCGGCGAUGCGCUCCUUGUCUUAAUUGGCCGGGUCGUGCCUCCGGCGGUGUUAUUUUGAAGAAAUGAGUGCUCAAAGCAAGCCUAUGCUCUGUAUAAAUUCGUAUGGGAUAACAUUAUAGGAUUUUGGUCUUAUUACGUUGGCCUUCGGGAUUGGAGUAAUGAUUAACAGGGACAGUCAGGGGCAUUCGUAUUUCAUCGUCAGAGGUGAAAUUCUUGGAUUUAUGAAAGACGAACAACUGCAAGAGCAUUUGCCAAGGAUGUUUUCAUCAAUCAAGAACAAAAGUUGGGGGCUCGAAGACGAUCAGAUACCGUCCUAGACUCAACCAUAAACGAUGCCGACCAGGAAUCGAC